rnacentral:SRP_RNA from 1 species
ACCGGGCUUGGUAACGCUUGCCUAUAACUCAAGUGAGGGUAUUAAAGAUUGUUGGUCUCACUGUUACAUAAUCCGGCUUGCCCGUUCCAAGUUGUGAGUUGGACCAUGUGGCUUGGGCGAAAGCUUGGGCCACAUGGUUCCUAAAGCAGGGGGCACUGCGUAAGGCUGGUUUCACAGAGCUGCGAAAACCCCUCGCUCAUGACAGUGGAAGGAUAACAGGCCGGGGCUCCAUGGGUCCAUAAUAUCUACCGGGUUGUCUCAAAUGAACAACCAUCUUU